ACGGAGGGUGCAAGCGUUAAUCGGAAUUACUGGGCGUAAAGCGUGCGUAGGUGGUUUGUUAAGUCAGAUGUGAAAGCCCUGGGCUUAACCUAGGAACUGCAUUUGAAACUGGCAAACUAGAGUAUAGGAGAGGAAAGUGGAAUUUCUGGUGUAGCGGUGAAAUGCGUAGAUAUCAGAAGGAACAUCAAUGGCGAAGGCAGCUUUCUGGACUAAUACUGACACUGAGGUACGAAAGCGUGGGUAGCAAACAGGAUUAGAUACCCUGGUAGUCCACGCCGUAAACGAUGAUAACUAGCCGUUGGGGGGAUUUACCCUUUAGUGGCNAAGCUAACGCGUUAAGUUAUCCGCCUGGGGAGUACGGCCGCAAGGUUA
rnacentral:rRNA from 1 species